UGGGGAAUAUUGCACAAUGGGCGCAAGCCUGAUGCAGCCAUGCCGCGUGUAUGAAGAAGGCCUCGGGUUGUAAAGUACUUUCAGCGGGGAGGAAGGCGAUAAGGUUAAUAACCUUGUCGAUUGACGUUACCCGCAGAAGAAGCACCGGCUAACUCCGUAGCCAGCAGCCGCGGUAAUACGGAGGGUGCAAGCGUUAAUCGGAAUUACUGGGCGUAAAGCGCACGCAGGCGGUCUGUCAAGUCGGAUGUGAAAUCCCGGGCUCAACCUGGGAACUGCAUUCGAAACUGGCAGGCUGGAGUCUUGUAGAGGG
rnacentral:rRNA from 1 species